UGGGUCCAAGCGGAGGUGCAGAGCCACGUGGAGGGUGGAUAAUUUGAGUUUUGGACACAGAACAUCACGGGUGGUGCCUUGGCCAGCUGUGUGCUGAGGUCAGCCUGGAAUUGGACAUCUUGUGUUCUGCUCUUUGCCUUCUCCUUUUGUCCUCCCUGAGCACAAGAAGACCAAUCCUCUGUCACCCAUCCGGCACAAACAGGGAAGCAAAUCCAAAAAGCACCAGCGGGGAUGCAGCAAGCACGCAAUGAGGAAAAGCAGAAGGAAGAAUGACCCCGUGCCAGUGUUACAAGCAGCUUCCUGAAAGCAGCUUGCAGCCAGGAAAACCGCUGGAUCAAAUCCCUCAGAGGAGGAGAAAGUCCAGGAACUUCUUUGUGGCCUUUCAGAUUGGUAUGUCCACUCCAGUUCACUGGCUGUGCUCAAACUGGAAGAUAUCAUGCAUAGGAGUGGAGAUGCUCAUGUCUUGGACCAUGCUCUGAACAAUCUGAUCUAGCUGUAGGUGUCCCUGUUCACUGUUGGGGAGAUGAACUAGGUGGCC